rnacentral:rRNA from 1 species
GAUGAGGGCGAGCCUGAUCCAGCCAUGCCGCGUGUGUGAAGAAGGUCUUCGGAUUGUAAAGCACUUUAAGUUGGGAGGAAGGGCAUUAACCUAAUACGUUAGUGUUUUGACGUUACCGACAGAAUAAGCACCGGCUAACUCUGUGCCAGCAGCCGCGGUAAUAC